GACGAACGCUGGCGGCGUGCCUAACACAUGCAAGUCGAACGGGGUAAUGACUUCGGUUGUUACUUAGUGGCGAACGGGUGAGUAACGCGUGAGAAACCUGCCUUUCAGUGGGGGACAACAGUUGGAAACGACUGCUAAUACCGCAUAAUGUAUCGAUGGGGCAUCCUGUUGAUACCAAAGCUUUAUGUGCUGAAAGAUGGUCUCGCGUCUGAUUAGCUAGUUGGUGAGGUAACGGCUCACCAAGGCGACGAUCAGUAGCCGGUCUGAGAGGAUGAACGGCCACAUUGGGACUGAGAUACGGCCCAGACUCCUACGGGAGGCAGCAGUGGGGAAUAUUGGGCAAUGGGGGAAACCCUGACCCAGCAACGCCGCGUGAAGGAAGAAGGG
rnacentral:rRNA from 1 species